CUUAUUUAAUGCUCAUGUGACUGGAAUAAACUCAGUGUGAAGAGAUACAGAGCUUGCACAAUAAUUUUUGCUCUUUAAAGUUUUUUUUUAUCUACAAUCUAAUCUUUAAAUCAAGACCAUGAGUGCUGUUAAUGUUGUGCAACUGUUCGUUCUUGUGUUGGUCUUUAACACUGUCUGUCAAGCAGAUGAAGAUUUCUGCAGUGUAAGCUGUGAUAAUGUGACUGGAUCUGUGGGGAGAGAAGCAACUUUCACCUGCAGUGUCUCCGAGCAGUGCGCUAAAUGUUGUAUAAUAAUGUAUGUAUUUCAAUACACUGAGAGCUAUAAAGACUCAACAGUCUGUAAACAAGAGUUUUAUAUGGACCCCUGUGAAAAGAGAAACAGCUUCACAUGCCGCUACACUCCACCUACAGCAAUGACAGCAAAAUUCAGAUUCUUUGUGCAAACAAUGUGUACAAUAAAAGAACUGAAUUCAAUGUCAACAUACCAGGUACCAUAUAUAUAUAUAUACUGUGUUUUAUAAUUAUUUUCAUUUAUUUUCAGUCUAUUAACAGUGGUUCAAAAUCUGUUAACAGGGGCCAUUAAACCAGAAAUUGAAAUUGAGGCUCCUGGCAAGAAAGGUAUUAUAUUCUAUAUUCUAAUAAUUGAUUAUUUAGAAUUGAGUUUAUAAUCUGUUUAGAAACCC